GGCAAACUUCGAACAACAAACCGGGCAGGUGGGGCUCGUUAGCCGUGGUAGGCAAUCUGCCUAGGAGAGCAAACUCUAAACAAACCCGGGCAGGUGGAGCUCGUAAGCCGUGGUAGGCAAUUCACCUAGGAGAGCAAACUCUAAACAAACCCGGGCAGGUGGAGCUCGUUAGCCGUGGUAGGCAGUUCACCUAGGAGAGCAAACUCUAAACAAACCCGGGCAGGUGGAGGUCGUUAGCCGUGGUAGGCAGUUCACCUAGGAGAGCAAACUCUAAACAAACCCGGGCAGGUGGAGGUCGUUAGCCGUGGUAGGCAGUUCACCUAGGAGAGCAAACUCUAAACAAACCCGGGCAGGUGGAGCUCGUUAGCCGUGGUAGGCAGUUCACCUAGGAGAGCAAACUCCGAACAACAAACCCGGGCAGGUGGAGCUCGUUAGCCGUGGUAGGCAGUUCACCUAGGAGAGCAAACUCCGAACAACAAACCCGGGCAGGUGGAGCUCGUUAGCCGUGGUAGGCAGUUCACCUAGGAGAGCAAACUCUAAACAAACCCGGGCAGGUGGAGCUCGUUAGCCGUGGUAGGCAAUUCACCUAGGAGAGCAAACUCUAAACAAACCCGGGCAGGUGGAGGUCGUUAGCCGUGGUAGGCAGUUCACCUAGGAGAGCAAACUCCGAACAACAAACCCGGGCAGGUGGAGCUCGUUAGCCGUGGUAGGCAAUUCACCUAGGAGAGCAAACUCCGAACAACAAACCCGGGCAGGUGGAGCUCGUUAGCCGUGGUAGGCAGUUCACCUAGGAGAGCAAACUCUAAACAAACCCGGGCAGGUGGAGCUCGUUAGCCGUGGUAGGCAAUUCACCUAGGAGAGCAAACUCCGAACAACAAACCCGGGCAGGUGGAGCUCGUUAGCCGUGGUAGGCAGUUCACCUAGGAGAGCAAACUCCGAACAACAAACCCGGGCAGGUGGAGCUCGUUAGCCGUGGUAGGCAGUUCACCUAGGAGAGCAAACUCUAAACAAACCCGGGCAGGUGGAGCUCGUUAGCCGUGGUAGGCAAUUCACCUAGGAGAGCAAACUCUAAACAAACCCGGGCAGGUGGAGGUCGUUAGCCGUGGUAGGCAGUUCACCUAGGAGAGCAAACUCCGAACAACAAACCCGGGCAGGUGGAGCUCGUUAGCCGUGGUAGGCAAUUCACCUAGGAGAGCAAACUCCGAACAACAAACCCGGGCAGGUGGAGCUCGUUAGCCGUGGUAGGCAAUUCACCUAGGAGAGCAAACUCCGAACAACAAACCCGGGCAGGUGGAGGUCGUUAGCCGUGGUAGGCAAUUCACCUAGGAGAGCAAACUCCGAACAACAAACCCGGGCAGGUGGAGCUCGUUAGCCGUGGUAGGCAGUUCACCUAGGAGAGCAAACUCCGAACAACAAACCCGGGCAGGUGGAGCUCGUUAGCCGUGGUAGGCAAUUCACCUAGGAGAGCAAACUCCGAACAACAAACCCGGGCAGGUGGAGCUCGUUAGCCGUGGUAGGCAAUUCACCUAGGAGAGCAAACUCCGAACAACAAACAUGAAAAGAAAAGUACAAAGAAACAUCAUCCACCUUUCGGCCCUCACUAACAUCACCAAAAUUAUGGGUGAGUCUCUUCUGGGGAGAAAAAGGCUCAUCCAGACCAAAGAACAUCAACAAGGGAUGAUAUAGAAAAGAACAUCAAGAAAGAAUGAAAAAGAGAAAAAGAAAAGAAAAAACACAGAAAAAGAAGAGUAACAGCAAUAAAAGAGCAACAUCAAGAAAAGAAAAGUACAAAGAAACAUCAUCCAUCUUUCGGCCCUAGCUAACAUCUCCAAAAUUAUGGGUGAGUCUCUUCUGGGGAGAAAAAGGUUCAUCCAGACCAAAGAACAUCAGCGAGGGAUGAUAUAGAAAAGAACACAGAAAAAUAAAGAAAAGAAAAAAGAACAGAAAAAGAACAUCGAAAAAGAAAAGUAACAGCAAUAAAAGAACAACAUCAAGAAAAGAAAAGUACAAAGAAACAUCAUCCACCUUUCGGCCCUAACUAACAUCAUCAAAAUUAUUGGUGGGUCUCUUCUGGGAGGAAAGAGGCGCACCUAGACCAUCAAAGAACAUCAACAAAGGAUGAUAUAGA